CGCGCAGGUGGUUGAUUAAGUCUGAUGUGAAAGCCCACGGCUUAACCGUGGAGGGUCAUUGGAAACUGGUCGACUUGAGUGCAGAAGAGGGAAGUGGAAUUCCAUGUGUAGCGGUGAAAUGCGUAGAGAUAUGGAGGAACACCAGUGGCGAAGGCGGCUUCCUGGUCUGUAACUGACACUGAGGCGCGAAAGCGUGGGGAGCAAACCCAAUAUCUGGU
rnacentral:rRNA from 1 species